rnacentral:rRNA from 1 species
AGGGUUUGAUUAUGGCUCAGGAUGAACGCUGGCGGCGUGCCUAACACAUGCAAGUCGAACGAAGCGGUUUUGGUGAAGUUUUCGGAUGGAACCGAAAUUGACUGAGUGGCGGACGGGUGAGUAACGCGUGGGUAACCUGCCUCACACAGGGGGAUAACAGUUAGAAAUGACUGCUAAUACCGCAUAAGCGCACGGAGACGCAUGUCUUUGUGUGAAAAGCCUUAACGGUGUGAGAUGGACCCGCGUCUGAUUAGCUAGUUGGCAGGGUAACGGCCUACCAAGGCGACGAUCAGUAGCCGACCUGAGAGGGUGACCGGCCACAUUGGGACUGAGACACGGCCCAA